AGCGAACGCUGGCGGCAGGCUUAACACAUGCAAGUCGAGCGGGCACUUCGGUGUCAGCGGCAGACGGGUGAGUAACACGUGGGAACGUACCCUUUGGUUCGGAAUAACGCUGGGAAACUAGCGCUAAUACCGGAUACGCCCUUUUGGGGAAAGGCUUGCUGCCGAAGGAUCGGCCCGCGUCUGAUUAGCUAGUUGGUGGGGUAAUGGCCUACCAAGGCGACGAUCAGUAGCUGGUCUGAGAGGAUGAUCAGCCACACUGGGACUGAGACACGGCCCAGACUCCUACGGGAGGCAGCAGUGGGGAAUAUUGGACAAUGGGCGCAAGCCUGAUCCAGCCAUGCAGCGUGAGUGAUGAAGGCCUUAGGGUUGUAAAGCUCUUUUGUCCGGGACGAUAAUGACGGUACCGGAAGAAUAAGCCACGGCUAACUUCGUG
rnacentral:rRNA from 1 species